AUAGCAUCCUGAGACAUAACUACCUCCAACAGUCCCAGACUUACAAAGGAGCACUGACCUUGUGUAGGUAUCAAUUAAGGUAAUUUGGCACCCCCAUGUGGUCAUUUAUAGGUACUCCUAUUUUAACUGUACAGUGAUUGGGGUCUGUCAAGUAAAACAAUAAAACAUCCUCACCAACAAAUCAGACAAACUUUGGUAAGCCUCAAUAAGUGCAAUACAGUGUCUCCUCUUACAUCUCCAUACAUGAAGUGUAUUGCUCUGUGUGUCAGCCCAUUAACAAAAUAGGAAUCCUGUACAGUAUAUUCAACUUUUGAAAUCACACAAGAUGCUAUAAUGCAAGUCCUUCAAUGUAAUAGCCAUAUUUGAAUCAGCAAAGAUCAAUUUCUAGUCUGUACAGAAACAAGUAGAAACAACCUAAAACUUUCACCAAGUCUAAAAACGUUUUAGUGACCAAUUUUAAUUUAAAUUCUACUGUCCCCAUUAAGCUCUGGGUCACUGCUUUGUAUGUAUGUCACAUUGAAAAAUCUGUUUGAAAUACCAUAACUUCUGCUGUUUUUUCCUGUUCAGGCUUUAAGGCUUGGUUUGCAUUGCGAGCACCUAGAAAUGAUACUACUACUGUGUAAGAUUUUCAUUGAGUCCUGGUUGAGUUAUGCAUGAAAUAUUUGUGGCAAACUCUCUGUUCAGCUGAAGGUCUGUAGCAUACUGCUGCUGCAGUUGAUAACACUGGACCUUACACAGCCUUUCAGGAUUAUUGCGAGGACGCAACCGCAACAAUUCAUGCAAAUUCAACCAAUCCCUUAGAACUCUGACCAACGUUGCAAUUUUGUCCAAUCACUGCAACUUUAACACAAAUGUUCCCAAUCAUUGUAGUCCUCCAUUAGUUUUACGAAUCAUAGCAGUACCCUGCAUAUCAUCCCCAAACUCAUUUCCUUCUAUCCACUUGUGAAGAUGCAGACGUGCAACACAAACGUCUCACAUUUACCAACAAAUACCACUGGUAAAGAUCAUGCAAGGCAAAUCCCUGAUAUUCUGCAGGAAAACAGGGGUUAACUAUUUUGCACUGUGUGCAAAAUUGUGGUGGAACACAAACCACAACGUUUGACAAAGAUUCUUCUACCACAAAACACAUGUAGAGAAUGGCUGAGUGCAUGGACAACUGACAAGACAAAUCAUCAAAACAUGCUAAAAGAAUCAAGGUGAAUUAGGCUAAAUAUGCAUGGUUAGCCGUGUUUUUUUCGGACUGGAACAAGUUGCCUCUAAUUUUUAAUUAAUUAUAAAUUAAAAAAAAAAAAAAGUUUUUCAGCAUUUUCCCUUGCUCUCGCAAUUUCAUUGAAAAAAGAAAAAAAGAAAGUAAUGCCCAAAGACAUAACAACAUGCAGUGCUUUUUUUUUUUUGAAAAUCUGCCUUUGAAAUCAGGCAUUUUAGGGUGCAACAAUCCAAAGAAGCCUGUUAAAAAAACAUGUUAUAGUGGUGGGUCAUUCACGAAUGACUUGACGAAUGAAUGAGUUUUUUUUUUUUUUUUUUU